rnacentral:sRNA from 1 species
CGAGCGAAAGCGAGAAAGCGUUGCCGCAGGCAACGACCCGAAGGGCGAAGCGCGCAGCGCUGAGUAAUCCUUCCCCCACCACCA